rnacentral:rRNA from 1 species
UACGAAGGGUGCAAACGUUGCUCGGAAUUAUUGGGCGUAAAGCGCACGUAGGCGGCUUGGCAAGUCGGAUGUGAAAUCCCUCGGCUCAACCAAGGAAGUGCAUCCGAAACUCCGAGCUUGAGUACUUAAGAGGAUCGCGGAAUUCCCGGUGUAGAGGUGAAAUUCGUAGAUAUCGGAGGAACACCGAUGGCGAAGGCAGUGUUCUGGGCCAGUACUGACGCUGAGGAGCGAAAGCGUGGGGAGCAAACAGG